rnacentral:rRNA from 1 species
GGGAUUGCCCUAGUAACGGCGAGUGAAGCGGCAAUAGCUCAAAUUUGAAAUCUGGCUCCUUUUAGGGGUCCGUGUUGUAAUUUGCAGAGGGUGCUUUGGCGUCGGUAGCGGUCUAAGUUCCUUGGAACAGGACAUCGCAGAGGGUGAGAAUCCCGUUUGUGGUCGCAUGCCUUCGCCGUGUAAAGCCCCUUCGACGAGUCGAGUUGUUUGGGAAUGCAGCUCUAAAUGGGAGGUAAAUUUCUUCUAAAGCUAAAUACUGGCCAGAGACCGAUAGCGCACAAGUAGAGUGAUCGAAAGAUGAAAAGCACUUUGGAAAGAGAGUCAAACAGCACGUGAAAUUGUUAAAAGGGAAGCGCUUGCAGCCAGACUUGCCCGUAGUUGCUCACCUAGGCUUUUGCCUGGGGCAUUCUUCUGCGGGCAGGCCAGCAUCAGUUUGGGCGGUCGGAUAAAGGUUCCUGUCAUGUAACUCCCUUCGGGGAGAACUUAUAGGGGGGACGAAAUGCGACCAGCCCGGACUGAGGUCCGCGCUUCGGCUAGGAUGCUGGCGUAAUGGCUGUAAGCGGCCCGUCUUGAAACACGGACCAAGGAGUCUAACAUCUAUGCGAGUGUUUGGGUGUCAAGCCCGAGCGCGUAAUGAAAGUGAACGGAGGUGGGAACCCUUUGGGUGCACCAUCGACCGAUCCUGAUGUCUUCGGAUGGAUUUGAGUAAGAGCAUAGCUGUUGGGACCCGAAAGAUGGUGAACUAUGCUUGAAUAGGGUGAAGCCAGAGGAAACUCUGGUGGAGGCUCGCAGCGGUUCUGACGUGCAAAUCGAUCGUCAAAUUUGGGCAUAGGGGCG